GACUUUAAAGGGGCGCUACGCAGCUUUGGCCAUUUCUUUGCUUUUUGCUGGCAGGUUUCUCCAUAGAGCUCCCCCUACAGCUUCAGAAUAUAUAUUUGGCAGCUCUUAUGUUUACUUGUGUCUGAGCCCUCCCUUGGUCAAUCUGCUGUUUCCUCUUUCUCUGUUCCACUGACAAUGCUUUCCUAGCUUUCUGCUUCUUUUUUUGCUGGCUCAGCCAUGAUGAUAAUGU